AUUGAACGCUGGCGGCAGGCCUAACACAUGCAAGUCGAGCGGAUGAAGGGAGCUUGCUCCUGGAUUCAGCGGCGGACGGGUGAGUAAUGCCUAGGAAUCUGCCUGGUAGUGGGGGAUAAUGUCCGGAAACGGGCGCUAAUACCGCAUACGUCCUGAGGGUGAAAGUGGGGGAUCCUAGGACCUCACGCUAUCAGAUGAGCCUAGGUCGGAUUAGCUAGUUGGUGGGGUAAAGGCCUACAAAGGCGACGAUCCGUAACUGGUCUGAGAGGAUGAUCAGUCACACUGGAACUGAGACACGGUCCAGACUCCUACGGGAGGCAGCAGUGGGGAAUAUUAGGCAAUGGGCGAGAGCCUGAUCCAGCCAUACCGCGUGUGUGAUGAAGGUCUUCGGAUUGUAAAGCACUUUAAGUUGGGAUGAAGUGCAGUAAGUUAAUACCUUGCUGUUUUGACGUUACCUACAUAAUAAGCACCGGCUAACUUCGUG
rnacentral:rRNA from 1 species